rnacentral:sRNA from 1 species
GAAGCCCCUGUUUGCCAGGCGUGAAAAAAUACCUCACUGUGACCUACGCAUGUGGUAUAAACUUCGACCCAAGCGGAUCGAAGGUUCUGAGGAAAGAUGGAAUUCUUGUUAGCAACUCUCUGGCAGCCUUUGCUUACAUUAGAGCCCACCCGGAGAGAGCUGCCCUGCUGUUCGUGUCCAGUGUCUGCAUCGGCCUGGCCCUCACAUUGUGCGCCCUGGUCAUCAGAGAGUCCUGUGCCAAGGACUUCCGCGAGUUGCAGCUGGGGAGGGAGCAGCUGGUGCCAGGAAGUGACAAGGUCGAGGAGGACAGCGAGGAUGAAGAAGAGGAGGAGGACUCCUCUGAGUCUGACUUCCCAGGGGAACUGUCGGGGUUCUGUAGGACUUCAUAUCCUGUCUACAGUUCCAUAGAAGCUGCAGAGCUCGCAGAAAGGAUUGAGCGCAGGGAGCAAAUCAUUCAGGAAAUAUGGAUGAACAGUGGUUUGGACACCUCACUCCCGAGAAACAUGGGCCAGUUCUACUGAAAACCACAUGCAUCUUGAUGCAAUCGCACUUUCUGAAGAAGGAAGGAUCCCAAAUGCCCCUCCAGUUCUGGUUCACCUGUACCUUCUAUGAAGGAGAAUUCGUCAUGUCAUUCAACACUCGUGAGGCCAGGAAGCUAUUAAAGGGAUGUUUCAAGCUUUCUAGCACAUUCCAAAAUAAAUAAGGAGGGAAGAGUCUU